GAUGUAGCUCAGUGGUGGCGUAUCUGCUUCAUAUGUAGAUGAUUCCAGGUUUAAUCCCUGGCAUCUUCA